rnacentral:lncRNA from 1 species
GUUAGUUUCUGCUACCACUUAAGUGUUAAUAGCUAAUAAUAGAGCAAGCUUGAUUACUACCUUGGUGUCCUAAAACGGAUGUUGGCCUGCCAGGGAGCAGCCAAGGUGAAGUUUUCAACCAGGCCGACCAACUUCAGAGUCCACUGGCUUCAAAACAGUGCUUUACAUCCUCCUUCCAACAUUAUUCACAAGCCGAUCAAGACUGAGAGAGUCACAAGUGUGUGAAACCUGUAUUCUUUCUGACUUCAUUUUCCCUGGUCGAAAUUUUUGUAGAAUAGACAAAUCAAGAAUGAUGACUUCUUAAGAUGCAGUAUUCAAGUUCAGAAAUCUAUACUCAGAUGACCUUAUGUAGGUCAUCUGCUUCUGAGGUUUAUCUCACCAGUGAGAGUUGAAAACAUAUCCUCUACUUAUAUUAAACUAGGAUGCAUAAGAGGGUUGAUAAAAUGGAAUUCAAGUGAACAUUUUAUGUGAAGAACUGCAGUAAUGAAUUCUGAAUUUGUUCAAAUCAUUGAAGAUGUGUGAAGACAAAACAUUCACUCAAAUCUCUAUCAUGUUAGCAUGUUAUUUAUCAUUGCUCUGUUCUUCAUUGUUGAAUAAUGCAAUUGAGUUAAAAAGAAUAAACAUUAUUUACCGAAGACUCAUAAAAAAAAA